rnacentral:rRNA from 1 species
UAGGGAAUCUUCCGCAAUGGACGCAAGUCUGACGGAGCAACGCCGCGUGAGUGAAGAAGGAUUUCGGUUCGUAAAACUCUGUUGUUAGAGAAGAACAGCGCAUAGAGUAACUGUUAUGCGUGUGACGGUAUCUAACCAGAAAGCCACGGCUAACUACGUGCCAGCAGCCGCGGUAAUACGUAGGUGGCAAGCGUUGUCCGGAUUUAUUGGGCGUAAAGCGAGCGCAGGCGGUCAAUUAAGUCUGAUGUGAAAGCCCCCGGCUCAACCGGGGAGGGUCAUUGGAAACUGGUUGACUUGAGUGCAGAAGAGGAGGGUGGAAUUCCAUGUGUAGCGGUGAAAUGCGUAGAUAUAUGGAGGAACACCGGUGGCGAAAGCGGCUCUCUGGUCUGUAACUGACGCUGAGGCUCGAAAGCGUGGGGAGCGAACAGG